UAUAUCCUGCUCCAAAAUCUCGAAAACGUAGUUUUUAGUUUGGAAGUCGUAAGCCGCUUGCUUAGUUUGGCGGGGCGCCUGGCCGGUACGCAGUAGUGAACUGCGAAUUUUGGCGUAUAUUGCGCAAAAGUGGAAGAGCAAAUCAGCAUAAUCCGUCGGGAAAACGGAGAAUAUUUUAAUCUUGGCCCCUUUUUUGCCGCAACAUUAUCGGGCGUUGCGCAAAAUCAAUUGGGGAUUGCCGCGAACUGUGGGAAAAUAAUUUGACCUAUUAAUCCUGUGGGAUUUAUGCUGGCGUCGCGAAACAGAUAAGGGAGUUUCUGAUGGAAACCGAGUUAAAAUUGUCACUGUUCACCACCGCCUGCGCGCUGGUGAUGAUUAUCGCUUUUAGUUUUACCGCUGCGCUGAACUGAUUG
rnacentral:sRNA from 1 species